GGAAGGCCUCCUGACCUAGAAAGUAAGUCAACCUUCCCCACCUUUAGUUGAGCUGUCGAGUGUCUAUUUUGGGGUUUGGUAGAUCGUUGGACUUAAAGUGAAGGUCUUGUUGAUUUAUGUUGUUGUUUCGGUUCUAAAGUAAUUUUGUUAAUAAUGGAAAGAGAAGCCUUAAUUAAUUGAUGGGCAAGACUGCUAUAGGAGGUAGAUCCCGUUAUGUCGUCCAUUGUCCUCUUCAUCCAGAAGUUGGUGCUGUUGUCCCAAUGCAGGAAGCUUGAUCUAAGGCUAGGCUUGUUGUUCCUUUAGGCAACAAUGGGGAGGCGACGACGUGAGCUAUUAGAGUACUCUACCUUAGCAUUAUGGGUUCUUCUAUUUUGAAUCUCUAUUCUUUUGAUUUGAUCGGGGCUUUGAUUUGUGUGGCUGUUGUUCUAUUAUGCCGAGAUCAGAGUGGUGGUGAGUUUGUGCCUGUAUGGUUCUGCCCUGAUCUUACUUCUCAAUGGCUUUGUGCGGCAAAGUUCCAUCGAAGUUUUUUUUGCCUUGAUUCCUUUUGUAUUUUCUUGAUUUGAGUAUGUUUUAGUUAAACUUGUGCCUUAACCCACCUCUUCUACUAUUCCAAUAUUAAUGAAAUUUCCAAUUUCAAUUAGAAAAAAAUAACUCAGUAUUUUAUGAAUAUAACCAAUAAUUUUAUGCAUUCUCCAUCCUAAAUAAAUAUUUUAAUAUUUUC
rnacentral:misc_RNA from 1 species